rnacentral:rRNA from 1 species
UACAGAGGUCUCAAGCGUUGUUCGGAUUCAUUGGGCGUAAAGGGCGCGUAGGCUGCGGGGCAAGUCGGGUGUGAAAUCUCAGAGCUCAACUCUGAAACUGCACUCGAUACUGCUUUGCUUGAGGACUGGAGAUGGAGAUUGGAAUUCACGGUGUAGCAGUGAAAUGCGUAGAUAUCGUGAGGAAGACCAGUGGCGAAGGCGGAUCUCUGGACAGUUCCUGACGCUGGAGGCGACGGAAGGCCAG